rnacentral:misc_RNA from 1 species
GAAAUGCGAUAAGUAAUGUGACUUGCAGACUUCAGUGAAUCAUCGAAUCUUUGAACGCACAUUGCGCCCCCUGGCAUUCCGGGGGGCAUGCCUGUCCGAGCGUCAUUACACCAUCAAGCAGAGCUUGGCGAUGGGCCGUCGCCUCGAUCCCUCUGUGGAUCUCGAGUCGUGCCCCAAAGGAGUCGGCAGAGCCAGACGCACUGUUGAAUGUAGCAAUCGAAGGGGAGGCCUCCUGCCAAACCGAACGUCCAACAACCGUCGCUCGCGCCGUAAAGCCCGACGGCAGUGUCCGCACCGCAAAGUCAUAUCACAGGUUGACCUCGGAUCAGGUAGGGAUACCCGCUGAACUUAA